rnacentral:lncRNA from 1 species
UUUUUUUUUUUGCUAGCAUAGAAUAUUCAUACAAAUCUAAUAUGAACACAUCCAAAAAAAAAUCAGAAAAUAAAAUAUCAUGAAAAAAAUCUAGAAAUAAACUUUUGAUCAAUCCAUAAAACACCAUCGAAAUACGCUACAACAAAAAUUACAAUCCAAUCUACAACAUUGUUCGCCCCUCCGGAGAUAUACCGAACAUCUACAAAAAUAAUCCUCAGAAAUCUCCAAAUAUCAGCUAACAGGGAAUGUGUGGCACCCUCCCAUCUCUUCUUUAGGUUGGUCCGGAACUAAAUACAUGAGCUCAGCAAUGAUUUCUCGUAGUUGGAGGGUGUUUAGGCCGGUGCAAGCUCAUUACGCAACCAGCGUUUCUGCAACGACAGACCAGAGUGUUCAUAACAAGCAUCCCAGACGCUUAAAGCUCUUGAUUUUUUCCAAGUUUCCGUUCUUUAUACGAUUCAAAACCAUGUCAUGGUUAAAAUUGAUA